rnacentral:rRNA from 1 species
AUUGAACGCUUGCGGGAGGCUUUACACAUGCAAGUCGAACGAGUGGCGGACGGGUGAGUAAUAUAUGGGUACGUGCCCAGUAGCGGGGGAUAACUACUCGAACGAGUGGCUAAUACCGCAUAUUCUUGGAGGGGCCGGUAUCGGAUUAGCUAGGUGGUGGGGUAAAGGCUAACCAAGGCAACGAUCCGUAGCUGGUUGGAGAGGACGACCAGCCACACUGGGACGGAGACACGGCCCAGACUCCUACGGGAGGCAGCAGUGGGGAAUUGUGUACAAUGGGGGAAACCCUGAUCCAGCCAUGCCGCGUGUAUGAGAAGGCCUUCGGGUUGUAAAGUACUUUUGGCAGAGAAGCGGUAUCUGCAGAAUAAGCACCGGCUAACUACGUGCCAGCAGCCGCGGUAAUUC